rnacentral:rRNA from 1 species
GGAGGGUGCGAGCGUUAAUCGGAAUAACUGGGCGUAAAGGGCAUGUAGGCGGUAAGUUAAGUCAGAUGUGAAAUCCCCCGAGCUUAACUUGGGAACGGCAUUUGAGACUGGCUGGCUAGAGUUUUGUAGAGGGGGUAGAAUUCCAGGUGUAGCGGUGAAAUGCGUAGAGAUCUGGAGGAAUACCGGUUGCGAAGGCGGCCCCUGGACAAGGACUGACGCUGAGGUGCGAAAGCGUGGUAGCAAACAGGAUUAGAUACCCCUGGUAGUCCACGCUGUAAACGAUGUCGAUUUGGAGGUUGUGGCCUAGUGUUAUGGCGUCCGAAGCUAACGCGAUAAAUCGACCGCCUGGGGAGUACGGCCGCAAGGUUA